UAUUGGACAAUGGGGGGAACCCUGAUCCAGCGACGCCGCGUGAGUGAAGAAGUAUCUCGGGAUGUAAAGCUCUAUCAGAAGGGAAGAAAGAAAUGACGGUACCUGUGAAGAAAGCUCCGGCUAACUACGUGCCAGCAGCCGCGGUAAUACGUAGGGAGCAAGCGUUAUCCGGAAUUAUUGGGUGUAAAGGGUGCGUAGACGGGAUAACAAGUUGGUUGUGAAACCCCUCGGCUCAACUGAGGAACUGCAACCAAAACUAUUAUUCUUGAGUGCAGGAGAGGAAAGUGGAAUUCCUAGUGUAGCGGUGAAAUGCGUAGAUAUUAGGAAGAACACCGGUGGCGAAGGCGACUUUCUGGACUGUAACUGACGUUGAGGCACGAAAGUGUGGGGAGCAAACAGG
rnacentral:rRNA from 1 species